AGUGUUACAAAUCUCCAUUUAAACCAGUUAGCGCAAGGCUCUUACGAGCCAUUCCCCUAAGCCCGGAACCAGGAAUCGUUCCGGGCUCUUUUUA
rnacentral:sRNA from 1 species